GAUGAACGCUAGCGGCAGGCCUAAUACAUGCAAGUCGAACGCGAUUAAGGUGCUUGCACCUUAUGAAAGUGGCGCACGGGUGCGUAACGCGUAUGCAACCUACCUUUAUCAGGGGGAUAGCCCGGAGAAAUCCGGAUUAAUACCGCAUAAAAUCACAGGAUAGCAUUUUCCAAUGAUCAAACAUUUAUGGGAUAAAGAUGGGCAUGCGUGUCAUUAGCUAGUUGGCGGGGUAACGGCCCACCAAGGCGACGAUGACUAGGGGAUCUGAGAGGAUGGCCCCCCACACGGGUACUGAGACCCGGACCAGACUCCUAGGGGAGGCAGAAGUAAGGAAUAUUGGUCAAUGGAGGGGACUCUGAACCAGCCAUGCCGCGUGCAGGAAGACUGCCCUAUGGGUUGUAAACUGCUUUUAUCCGGGAAUAAACCUACUUACGUGUAAGUAGCUGAAUGUACCGGAAGAAUAAGGAUCGGCUAACUCCGUGCCAGCAGCCGCCGUAAAAC
rnacentral:rRNA from 1 species